UGUUUCUCGGAUUAACUAAAUUUUUAAACAAUUGGGUUAAAAAACUUAAAUUAUCUUGAAACUUACCUUGAAAAUAAACUUGAUUAUUUUAUUUUGCAAUAACUUCCCAGAAAAAUUUUUCCAUGACCAGGGAAUCAACUUUUCUUCCAACCUUUUGUGUUCUACACAACAAAUUUAAACGAUUUACGUAUCUAGGUAGUUAUGUGAAACACUCGAUAAAAAUUGGCACACAUCGUUGUCAAUUGCAUAAUCCCGUCCUUAUUUACAUAUUGCUGAUUUCACUUUAGUUCAGUACCUAUUACAUGCAGAAGUAAAGUUAUAAAUUUGCUGUUUCAGGAGAAACAAAUUAAUAAUCAACAUUUAUUACUUGAACCAUUUAUCAAUUUUUUUGCAAAGUUUAAAGCAAAAUUUGCACAUUCGCGAAAUAAUUAUCUCCAUGAAUAUAAAAUGCUUACAUAUUAACUACACAUUUUAUGUUUUGGUGUAUGUAUGGGUGUGAAUGUUUCAUUGGAUUCGCACAUUCGUGCAAUAACAUCCUCGCAUGCUUCUCAUCCCUUUUUUGGAAAUUUGUGAAAAAUGAGAUCCGAUUUCUUAGUCAAUGUGUUCCACGUCCUUCUCCGUCUCGCCCUCUACGACGACCAAAAUUCCACUGGAAUCAUUUGGGACAAUAUUACUUUCACAUCCCUCUCAUCGACUUUCCCGGCGUAAAAUGUCGAGUUCAAUGUCGGUACGACGGUCAACAAAUAGCCGACCCGUACGACUGCCACUCUUUUUACGUGUGCUCCAACUGGAUAUCGUACAAGCACAUGUGUCCCCUCUUUAACCACACCGACCGGCUUAUUUUCCACCCUCUCGACUGGGCCUGCGUCUCACUCGAGGACUAGCCAUGCAAUCAACCUUGCCGGGAGCCAUGAAAAUUUCGUAAAUUAAUAAGUUAAAUUUCCGAAAAUAAAACAAAAUGAAAUUCUGACAUAA